AACGCACAUUGCGCCCCGUGGCAUUCCGCGGGGCAUGCCUGUUCGAGCGUCAUUUCAACCCUCAAGCCCUGCUUGGUGUUGGGCCGGGCCCGUCGCGGCCGGCCCUAAAGACAGUGGCGGCGCCGCCCGGCUCCCAGCGUAGUACCUCUUCUCGCUGCGGCGCCUGGCGGUGGCCUGCCAGAACCCCCGACUCUGUGGUUGACCUCGGAUCAGGUAGGGAUACCCGCUGAACUUAA
rnacentral:misc_RNA from 1 species